GAUGAACGCUGGCGGCGUGCCUAAUACAUGCAAGUCGAGCGAACAGACGAGGAGCUUGCUCCUCUGACGUUAGCGGCGGACGGGUGAGUAACACGUGGAUAACCUACCUAUAAGACUGGGAUAACUUCGGGAAACCGGAGCUAAUACCGGAUAACAUCCUGCACCGUAGGGUUCAUUGGAAAAUUACGGCCUUGUGGUAUCUAAUAGAUGCUUCCGCGCCGCAUUAGCUAGUUGGUAAGGUAACGGCUUACCAAGGCAAGCAUGCGUAGCCGACCUGAGAGGGUGAUCGGCCACACUGGAACUGAGACACGGUCCAGACUACUACGGGAGGCAGCAGUAGGGAAUCUUCCGCAAUGGGCGAAAGCCUGACGGAGCAACGCCGCGUGAGUGAAGAAGGUCUUCGGAUCGUAAAACUCUGUUAUUAGGGAAGAACAAAUGUGUAAGUAACUAUGCACGUCUUGACGGUACCUAGUCAGAAAGCCACGGCUAACUACGUG
rnacentral:rRNA from 1 species